AGAGAAACACUGUCUCAAAAAACCAAAAACCAAAUAAAUAAGUAUAUAAGUGAAUGAAAUUUUUGUUGUUUUUCGAGACAGGGUUUCUU
rnacentral:miRNA from 1 species